CAGGCCUAACACAUGCAAGUCGAACGAAGGCUUCGGCCUUAGUGGCGCACGGGUGCGUAACGCGUGGGAAUCUGCCCUUGGGUUCGGAAUAACAGCGGGAAACUGCUGCUAAUACCGGAUGAUGACGUAAGUCCAAAGAUUUAUCGCCCAAGGAUGAGCCCGCGUGGGAUUAGCUAGUUGGUGGGGUAAAGGCCCACCAAGGCGACGAUCCUUAGCUGGUCUGAGAGGAUGAUCAGCCACACUGGGACUGAGACACGGCCCAGACUCCUACGGGAGGUAGCAGUGGGGAAUAUUGGACAAUGGGCGAAAGCCUGAUCCAGCAAUGCCGCGUGAGUGAUGAAGGCCUUAGGGUUGUAAAGCUCUUUUACCCGGGAUGAUAAUGACAGUACCGGGAGAAUAAGCUCCGGCUAACUCCGUGCCAGCAGCCGCGGUAAU
rnacentral:rRNA from 1 species